rnacentral:rRNA from 1 species
CCUGGUGGCCAUGGCGGAGGGACUACACCCGAUCCCAUCCCGAACUCGGACGUGAAAACCACCAGCGCCCAUGAUACUGCACCCCAAGGUGCGGGAAAGUCGGUCGCCGCCAGGU